rnacentral:tRNA from 1 species
UGCGGAUGGAUGACGGACGGAUCGGUACGGUUGAAGACCGUCAGCGUGCCAUUGUCGUUCCACAGCGGUUCGAGGCCGCGCUCGGCGC